rnacentral:rRNA from 1 species
GGAAUCUUGCGCAAUGGGCGAAAGCCUGACGCAGCAACGCCGCGUGCGGGAAGAAGGCUUUCGGGCUGUAAACCGCUUUCAGCAGGAACGAAAAUGACGGUACCUGCAGAAGAAGGAGCGGCCAACUAUGUGCCAGCAGCCGCGGUGAUACAUAGGCUUCAAGCGUUGUCCGGAUUUAUUGGGCGUAAAGAGUUCGUAGGCGGUCGAGUAAGUCGGGUGUGAAAAUUCUGGGCUCAACCCAGAGACGCCACCCGAUACUGCUUAACUUGAGUUCGAUAGGGGAGUGGGGAAUUCCUAGUGUAGCGGUGAAAUGCGCAGAUAUUAGGAGGAACACCGGUGGCGAAGGCGCCACUCUGGAUCGACACUGACGCUGAGGAACGAAAGCAUGGGUAGCAAACAGGAUUAGAUACCCUGGUAGUCCAUGCGGUAAACGGUGGGCACUAGGUGUGGGUUUCUAUUAACGAAAUCCGCGCCGUCGCUAACGCAUUAAGUGCCCCGCCUGGGGAGUACGGUCGCAAGACUAAAACUCAAAUGAAUUGACGGA